AUACAAAACAGAUUGAAAUCUUCAAUAGGGUAUUCUCUUUCGGACAAGGACGACAUCUUGUACAUGAAAAGUAAAAAAUAUAUAAUACUUAAUAUAAAGUACAUGGGCACAAUAUUAGAAUAACAUGUCGAUUUUUAAAUGCUGUGCAUAAUUAGAGAUCUAAGAAUCCAGAGGUAUAGAAAUCUAGAGCACAUUUCAUGAGAUGAAAGUUAUAAAGGUGCAAAGUAAGCAUUUUUUUAUUUACGCACCAAUGAUCUUUAUUACAUUUUCGUAUUACACUCUACUAUAUCGACUGGAAUUAGUAAAUCACAGCGCUUCUGGUGUUUUCUGGAUGGUUCAAAUGAUGAACCUCUACUGGUCCCAGGAAUUGAUGUACCUGUAAAUUUGAGAAGCAUAUGUAAUGAUAAUGUUUUGGCAACAGUGAGUGAAAUAUUUAGAAUAUUUAUUAGGUCGCCAAAGAGGAAAGUACUAUGGAACAUAAAAAAAGUCAAAGUCAAAAUUUUCUGUGCUUUCUGCGCUUGUUUAAAAUUUAUAGAGUCCGCGUCUUUGUAUCUCUCGGUAAUAAGAGAAAUA